CCCCGUGCCCCCAAAGCAGCGCCGCAUUGCAGCCGACGCCGCCCCCCGCCCGCGGCGCAGCCCCGCCGCCCCAGCCCUGCACAGGACGUCGGUGUUCGACCGCCUGGGAGCGGAGACGGAGCUCAGCAAGCCCACAGUGGGGGUGUUUGGCCGCCUGGGCUCCGCGCCCCCCACCUCCCCCUCCCCAUCACCGGAGGAUGACGACGGCCGCCCGCUGCCCUACGCCGGGGUCCUGAAGAAGCCGCCUCCCCCCCCAGCUCCUCGGGACCCCCCCCCACCAUCAGAACCUCCCACCGCCCCCCCGACCCCCUCCGAGGUUCCGCCGCCCCCCCCGGCCCCCCAGGAUUGCCGGGUCAGCAGCAGCCGAAGGGGGAGACCCCCCCGUGGGGGGGGGGCGGUGCGGCUGCACCGGGGUUGGGGGGGGCCUGGAGCGCGGAUGGACGGCGCCGGGGGGGUCAGCGUGUUCCGCAGGCUGGGCAGGAAGGGGCUGUGACGUCAUCGGUCGGCGCCGCGACGUCAUCGGUCGGCGCCGCGACGUCAUUGGUCGGUGCCUGGGACGUCAUUGCUCGGAGGUGUGACAUCAUCGCGCGGAGGCGGGGUGCCAUGGGUGGCGUCAGCGGGGCUGUGACGUCAUCGUUCGGUGCUGUGACGUCAUCG
rnacentral:lncRNA from 1 species